rnacentral:rRNA from 1 species
UGAGUAACACGUGGGCAAUCUGCCCUUCACUCUGGGACAAGCCCUGGAAACGGGGUCUAAUACCGGAUAACACUCCUGCAGGCAUGGCUGGGGGUUGAAAGCUCCGGCGGUGAAGGAUGAGCCCGCGGCCUAUCAGCUUGUUGGUGAGGUAGAAGCUCACCAAGGCGACGACGGGUAGCCGGCCUGAGAGGGCGACCGGCCACACUGGGACUGAGACACGGCCCAGACUCCUACGGGAGGCAGCAGUGGGGAAUAUUGCACAAUGGGCGAAAGCCUGAUGCAGCGACGCCGCGUGAGGGAUGACGGCCUUCGGGUUGUAAACCUCUUUCAGCAGGGAAGAAGCGAAAGUGACGGUACCUGCAGAAGAAGCGCCGGCUAACUACGUGCCAGCAGCCGCGGUAAUACGUAGGGCGCAAGCGUUGUCCGGAAUUAUUGGGCGUAAAGAGCUCGUAGGCGGUCUGUCACGUCGGAUGUGAAAGCCCGGGGCUUAACCCCGGGUCUGCAUUCGAUACGGGCAGACUAGAGUGUGGUAGGGGAGAUCGGAAUUCCUGGUGUAGCGGUGAAAUGCGCAGAUAUCAGGAGGAACACCGGUGGCGAAGGCGGAUCUCUGGGCCAUUACUGACGCUGAGGAGCGAAAGCGUGGGGAGCGAACAGGAUUAGAUACCCUGGUAGUCCACGCCGUAAACGGUGGGAACUAGGUGUUGGCGACAUUCCACGUCGUCCGUGCCGCAGCUAACGCAUUAAGUUCCCCGCCUGGGGAGUACGGCCGCAACGCUAAAACUCAAAGGACUUGACGGGGGCCCGCACAAGCAGCAGAUCAUGUGGCUUAAUUCGACGCAACGCGAAGAACCUUACCAAGGCUUGACAUCGCACGGAAAGCAUCAGACAUGUGCCCUCCUUAGUUGUCCGGUGACAGGUGUGCAUGGCUGUCAGUCAGCUCGAGUCGUGAGAUGUUGGGGUCAGUGCCUGCACGAGCGCAUCCUUGAUCAUGUGCUGCUAGCAUGCCUUCGGGUGCAUGCGACUCACAGAUACUGUCAGGAUCACCUCGGAGUAGUGGGAUCGACGUCAGUCAUCAUGCACGUUAGUCAUGACUGCAACUGCUACAUGCAGUCAUGACUCGAGUCCAGCGAACGAUCUC